ensembl:snoRNA
AAGCCAGCCAAUUAAUCUGCUUAUCUGAAUGUGUUUCUGCAGAAAUUUAGAAACAGCUGGCAUUAGUGAUGCCAUUGUAUAAGCCUUAAAAAGGACAACUAUGGUCAUUAAGGUCCCUCAAAAUGGCUACAAUA